rnacentral:rRNA from 1 species
AAUUCUAGAGCUAAUACGUGCACCGAGGCUGUCCCUUGCGGGGCAGUGCAUUUGUUGGAGCAAAACCAGGCGACUUCGGUCGUUUUUGCUGACUCAGAACAACUUAGCUGAUCGCAUGGGCUUGUCCCGGCGACGUACCGUCCGAGUGUCUGCCUUAUCAACUUUCGAUGGUAGUGUAUGUGACUACCAUGGUUGUGACGGGUAACGGAGGAUAAGGGUUCGACUCCGGAGAAGGGGCCUGAGAAAUGGCCACUACGUCUAAGGAUGGCAGCAGGCGCGCAAAUUACCCACUCUCGGUUCGAGGAGGUAGUGACGAAAAAUAACAAGGCUGUUCUCUACGAGGCCAGCCAUUGGAAUGGGUACAACACAAACCCUUUAACGAGUAUCAAUGAGAGGGCAAGUCUGGUGCCAGCAGCCGCGGUAAUUCCAGCUCUCAAAAUGCAUAGAACCAUUGCUGCGGUUAAAAAGCUCGUAGUUGGAUCUGUGCCGGCGACGUGGUCCACCCUAACGGGCGGUACUGCGCUCGUCGGCUUUGGGCCGGUCUUCGUGCGGUGGCCUUAACUGGUCGUCGUGCGUGGCUGGCUGGUUUACUUUGAGCAAAUCAGAGUGCUCAGCACAGGCGUUUCGCCGGAAUGUUCGUGCAUGGAAUAAUAGAAAAGGAUUUCGGUCCUCUUUUAUUGGUUUUGUGGACUGAGAUAAUGGUUAACAGAGACGAACGGGGGCAUUCGUAUUGCUGCGUGAGAGGUGAAAUUCUUGGACCGCAGCAGGACGGACUACAGCGAAAGCAUUUGCCAAGCGCGUCUUCAUUAAUCAAGAACGAAAGUCAGAGGUUCGAAGGCGAUCA